UUUUUGGUUUUGUAAUUGGAAUGAGUUAAGUAUAAACCCCUUUACAAGUAUCAAUUGGAGGGCAAGUCUGGUGCCAGCAGCCGCGGUAAUUCCAGCUCCAAUAGCGUAUAUUAAAGUUGUUGCAGUUAAAAAGCUCGUAGUUGGAUUUCUGUUAAUAAUUUAUAUAAAAUAUUUUGAUGAAUAUUUAUAUAAUAUUAACAUAAUUCAUAUUACUAUAUAUUUUAGUAUAUGAAAUUUUACUUUGAGAAAAUUAGAGUGCUUAAAGCAGGCAUAUGCCUUGAAUACUCCAGCAUGGAAUAAUAUUAAAGAUUUUUAUCUUUCUUAUUGGUUCUAAGAUAAGAAUAAUGAUUAAUAGGGACAGUUGGGGGCAUUUGUAUUUAACAGUCAGAGGUGAAAUUCUUAGAUUUGUUAAAGACAAACUAAUGCGAAAGCAUUUGCCAAGGAUGUUUUCAUUAAUCAAGAACGAAAGUUAGGGGAUCGAAGACGAUCAGAUACCGUCGUAGUCUUAACCAUAAACUAUGCCAACUAGAGAUUGGAGGU
rnacentral:rRNA from 1 species